rnacentral:misc_RNA from 1 species
AAGAUGCAAAAAAAGCAAGAGGAAAGGUCAAGUUGCUCAUUCAAUUACCAGCUUCAGUGUCUAUAGUAAACUUUAAACGAAGCAGCUCAUAUUGUUAGGCGCUAAUAGAUAGUGCAGAAUCCGCAAUUCUCAGGGAGCCACCAAGGUCAAUUGGUACAAGGGGAAUGAAGGAGUGCAGGACAUCUGUUAUCAGUGGUCGGUAACUUGGUUCUGGUUGUACACAUAGCACGGCUACAGCAGCAACUUGAUACAAGUGCUUCAGGUCCAUUCCCUCUCUAAUGACAGAAUCAACAAUAUUAGGGAGCUUUGACCUGUCAGUUAGCUGUGGCAUCGCCCAUGUGACUAUAGAUUGGCAUUGAGCUCCCUCUAGUUUCUCCACUGGUCUUCUCCCCAGCAAAAGCUCCAGAAGUAUAAUGCCGAAAGCAUAGACGUCACUCUUAUCAGUUAAUUUCCCAUCUAAAAGGUACUCUGGAGCCACAUAACCCAGAGUUCCUGAAAGCUUU